rnacentral:rRNA from 1 species
AACGAACGCUGGCGGCGUGGAUAAGACAUGCAAGUCGAACGGAAUGUACUGGUAGCAAUAUUGGUAUGUUCAGUGGCGAACGGGUGCGUAACACGUGGGUAACAUGCCGGGGUAGAGGAGAAUAGCCCAGGGAAACUUGGAUUAAUGCUCCAUGUGGUCGCAAGACUAAAGACGGGUAACCUGUCGCUUCCUGAUUGGCC